CCUACGGGUGGCAGCAGUGAGGAAUAUUGGUCAAUGGACGAGAGUCUGAACCAGCCAAGUAGCGUGAAGGAUUACUGCCCUAUGGGUUGUAAACUUCUUUUAUAUGGGAAUAAAAUGUUCCACGUGUGGGAUUUUGUAUGUACCAUAUGAAUAAGGAUCGGCUAACUCCGUGCCAGCAGCCGCGGUAAUACGGAGGAUCCGAGCGUUAUCCGGAUUUAUUGGGUUUAAGGGGAGCGUAGGUGGAUUGUUAAGUCAGUUGUGAAAGGUUGCGGCUCAACCGUAAAAUUGCAGUUGAAACUGGCAGUCUUGAGUACAGUAGAGGUGGGCGGAAUUCGUGGUGUAGCGGUGAAAUGCUUAGAUAUCACGAAGAACUCCGAUUGCGAAGGCAGCUCACUGGACUGCAACUGACACUGAGGCUCGAAAGUGUGGGUAUCGAACAGGAUUAGAUACCCCGGUAGUC
rnacentral:rRNA from 1 species